GAUGAACGCUGGCGGCGUGCCUAUACAUGCAAGUCGAGCGAACAGAUGAGGAGCUUGCUCCUCUGACGUUAGCGGCGGACGGGUGAGUAACACGUGGAUAACCUACCUAUAAGACUGGGAUAACUUCGGGAAACCGGAGCUAAUACCGGAUAAUAUAUUGAACCGCAUGGUUCAAUAGUGAAAGACGGUUUUGCUGUCACUUAUAGAUGGAUCCGCGCCGCAUUAGCUAGUUGGUAAGGUAACGGCUUACCAAGGCAACGAUGCGUAGCCGACCUGAGAGGGUGAUCGGCCACACUGGAACUGAGACACGGUCCAGACUCCUACGGGAGGCAGCAGUAGGGAAUCUUCCGCAAAGGGCGAAAGCCUGACGGAGCAACGCCGCGUGAGUGAUGAAGGUCUUCGGAUCGUAAAACUCUGUUAUUAGGGAAGAACAAAUGUGUAAGUAACUAUGCACGUCUUGACGGUACCUAAUCAGAAAGCCACGGCUAACUACGUG
rnacentral:rRNA from 1 species